AAUAGAUACCCCGGUAGUCCACGCCCUAAACGAUGCGAACUGGAUGUUGGGUUCAACUUGGAACCCAGUAUCGAAGCUAACGCGUUAAGUUCGCCGCCUGGGGAGUACGGUCGCAAGACUGAAACUCAAAGGAAUUGACGGGGGCCCGCACAAGCGGUGGAGUAUGUGGUUUAAUUCGAUGCAACGCGAAGAACCUUACCUGGUCUUGACAUCCACGGAACUUUCCAGAGAUGGAUUGGUGCCUUCGGGAACCAUGAGACAGGUGCUGCAUGGCUGUCGUCAGCUCGUGUCGUGAGAUGUUGGGUUAAGUCCCGCAACGAGCGCAACCCUUGUCCUUAGUUGCCAGCACGUAAUGGUGGGAACUCUAAGGAGACCGCCGGUGACAAACCGGAGGAAGGUGGGGAUGACAUCAAGUCAUCAUGGCCCUUACGACCAGGGCUACACACGUACUACAAUGGGAAGGACAGAGGGCUGCAAUCCCGCGAGGGGGUAGCCAAUCCCAGAAACCUUCUCUCAGUCCGGAUCGGAGUCUGCAACUCGACUCCG
rnacentral:rRNA from 1 species